CAGAGCUGUGGAAUAUAGUUCCGCUGAUGGACGAACCAUGUUUGGCAGUAAAAGCCUCACAAAGAAACAGGAGGAGGUGAGGGGGGCCGUAACAUGGUAGUAUUAUAGCUGGCCUCUUGAGGAACUGCCUGAAUGUUGUUCAUCCCUAUGUCACCCAUCCCUGAAAAAACAAGCAAGCAGUUGGGUGAAGUCAUGCGGCACAGUGAUAAAACAAAAUGGGCCUUUUUCCUCAAGUGAAGCGAGGGCUGCUUUCUCCAGCAUGUUUGGAUUAAUAAGGAGUGAUUGAUGAAGACAGGAGAGGAAACAUUCGAUUCCUGCUCUGC